AAAUGUUUCCGCCUGUCAGUAGGGUGCCUUGAUGCGCGUUUUGUCCGCUCACAUCGAGGCACACUACACGGCAGUGAGUAGCAGCGCUGCAAUCCUUUCUCGACGACGCGUUCUGUGGCCCUGGAAAAUGCCUUGACGAUCGGGGACGGCCGGUAGCUCGGCGAUUCCUCGCUUGGCGCACCAUUGAAAAUCGGCGGUCAUCCAGCAGUGUACGCUGCCAGCGUAUUUUCAUUGCCAGAGGUAGCAAACAGCAGUGCCACGACAAACAGUGGAGUGCUGACCAUGCAGUCCAGAAGGUGGCUGAGGCAAGUAUGCUAUAGGAGGUGCUUAUUCAGGCAGAAGAAAUAAGCAUCUGCAGCCAACGUAAAGGAAGCAUCUUCAAAAAGCAGUGCUACAAGGAUGUGAGCAGCAGUUUCCCUUCAACGAACGGGUCAAAUUCAUGGAAGCCACGUGCCUGCUGCUUCUGGCCUACACAAAUAUGCAGCCACCAUAGUAAAGUUCUUGCAAAGACAUUCUACUCAAACUUGCCCAAAGGCGGAAGGAAGGCACGCACAGAUGGACGCACAGAAAUCAUGGGGCUGCCGUAGAAGCUGUGAAUGAGCAUUAACCUACGUACAGAAAGGAGCGAAGUGGAGCUGUCCAUGGGCCGUGCACACAGUUUCAUAAGCAGGCUUGCAACACUUUUGACAAAUAUGUUCCUGAAUACAUCUGCCAAGUGGCAUUUAAAGA